GCCACCGCGACCUAAGAGCUCCCAACAUUCAUUGAGCAUUACUAUUGCCCUGCUAAUGCGCAAGAAACCGCUCGGAACUGGUGAGUCGCUGCCUCCAUGUUUAAAAACAAGCGCUCUGUUGCCAUGUUCAUCCAGCGCGUCUGUCUUCUCUCCUCGCCAUCUUGCCGCAGCCCUCCAGUCUGGUUGUAUUCCGGCUUCGGGAGCUGAUCGGCAUUCUCUCUCCCCCUUGAUUUGAUUGGAUUUUCUUUGGAUUUGCAUACUCCUCACACAAACCAGCCCCGUUUUGAUUGGAUCCAGCGUCCUGUUCGAUCAAGAAAGGAGGAAGAGGUUCUCAUCCGGAUAUUGGACAACAGUAGCUGCUUCCGUUGGUUGGCUAGAUAUAUAAAGAACACAACAUGCUUCCUUUUACAUCAAUUCUUGCGUGUGUGCUUUGCAAAGAUGGACAACCCCUGAAAAUUCUUUCAGGCCUCCUGGUAUGCAUUCAGUCCCACGCUCCCCUGAAAUUUAUUUAUUAUAUUGGAAUUUGAUUAGUUCCCCUAGAUUAUUCUCUGAAAUUUAUUUGUUACAUACAUUGGAAUUUGCUCCCCUGAAAUCUUCCAUCAAAUGAUUUUGUAAAACAGGUCAGCUAGAUAUUAAAAAACACCACAUGCUUCCUUCUACAUCAUUCGCACGUGGUGUGUGCUUUACAAAGAUGGAUAACCCACGAAAAUUCUGCGAGGCAUCUGCUUCCUUCUACAUCAGUCCCCCGUGAUGUGUGCUUCACAAAGAUGGACAACCCCUGAAAAUUCUGCUUGAGGCAUCCUGGUAUGCAUUCAGUCCCAUGCGGUGGUGAACUCCGAUGCCGAUAUCACCUGCCAGAACCGGAGUUUUUUUUUGCUGCCCGGGCCUUCGUCAAAUGAUCUUCUGCAGGUUAUAUCUCUCUCUUUCUCUCUCUCUCUGUACCCGUUUGCUGAUGGAGUUGAGGUUAUAGUCAACUUAAUUUCUGAGGCCAUACAUGAUGUAUGGAUUCUCAGCCUUUUGGGAAAAUACAGUUAAACAAUGCUGACAGUUUUCUUAUAGCAUUCCACUCAUGUUCAAUCUUGGAAAAAAAUAAUACUUAUUCCAGGCAGAAAGAGCUGAUUUGUUUUUGCUUGGCUCGGGUCUAAUUAGGCAUAAAGAAACAGGACAUGACUAACAGUAAUGCAUUUCCCUGUGCUUGGAAGUGCAACCUCUGUUUCUAUUGUUCAUGUUCAGGCUUGAAUAAACAAACAAGGUCAAUCAAAUACCAUAGAUGAGUGUCCCGACCUAAUUGUUUGAGCUAACUGCAGGAAUUGUCUUCCAGUAGUAAGGUAAUGUACACAAUGACCCAAAGUCAGAAACAUCUUCAAUUCUAGAAUGGAAGUUUGAUCUUUAUUCCGGAAAUAGUGUAUCAAUGUGAUGCCUCCUAGAAGUUACUAAUGUAUGUACUAGCUU